rnacentral:lncRNA from 1 species
UGAGCCCGUGAUCCCGUGACGGCACGGCAGACGGCGUGACCUCCUCGCCUCCCUCGCCGGCCCCGGCUCCCGUUGUCCCGUGAAGCAGUAGAGGCCCGGCCGUCCCCUCACCCUCAGCCCUCCCUCCCGUCCGUAUCACUGAGAGACUGUCAGUCUGUGACACUGACAGUGACUCAGUGAGUCAGUGGGUUACUGCCUUACUGGGUAGUGGGCCUAGUCACUGUAGCACAAGUGCACAACAUAUGGUGUGAUCCUUCUAACCCCCUUUUGUUGUUUGAUUAUAUUUUCAACAUCCAGUGUUUAAUUUUUCUAAUUUUAUUGCAAUUUCUAUAAUUUUGUUACAAUUUUUCUCUUCUAUUUUUUCUCUUUUAUAUUUUAAUUUGUUUGUAGUAAUUAUCUUAAUUGUUUUGUUUACUAAUAUAAUUUUUAUAUUCAAAUGUCUAAUAGAAAAUAUGAAUGUGG